GUCCCCGGUCUCCUUACCCUCCGGCGGUGAAGCCUUGUCUCUUGCUACUCGAGAAACGAAGAGUUUGGAGAAGAGGACAGAGAAACAGAGCACGAUACAGGAAAGUAAAGCCACUUUGUGUACGGCCGAGGCCAUGGUGCGGAGAGGGGGAGGGGAGAAACCGGAAGGUGCAGGGUCACGUGCCCCUGGAUUCCGGUCGCCCCGGAAAUAAAUACUGCUUCGGAAGCAGAUACCGGCCUCUCUUCCUCUCCCUCUCCCCGGGUGGUAGGAGCUGCAGGUGGAGGAAAAUCCGGCGAUCUUUGGUGGAAAUGUGAAGUUUGGAGGCGAUGGCGCUGCUGGCCUGGGUGAAGGGUGGCCUGAGUUUAUUCCAUGUGGCUGGAUGAGGAACUUGAACGAGUGAUAUGACUGAGUCCUGGGAGAAGCUCACCCUGAAUCGCUGUACUUGGUAUGCCCAAUUGAAACGUGAGGCGAAUGCAAGGAGAAGAAAUCCAAGCCAGCAAUGUGUACAAAACUAUUGUCUGCACUGUACUGUUCUGGUUGUCCUGGGUUCACAUUGCCCUGACUUAUGAUCCGUGAAACCAUAUCUAGCUCUCGAAGCGGUGAACAUUAUUAACUUUGCCUUCAGGGCCAAGUUUGACAUUUUCGAUAUUGUACACGUGCUUCUUUUCUCCUCAAGCUUUUUUUGGGGAGCCUUUUUUCCUCCAUGUAUUUUCACCAGAGACCAUAUCGGACAUGAGUGAAUUGAGCUAUGAUGAGUUCCUAUUGAGAACACCUCCAUGGAAAGGCUGGAAUGAAUUUCAACAUGUUUCAAAUCUGAUCGGAUUCCCAACAGAAUAUUUCUUGGUGCUACUUAAGGCUUGUGAAUGUGCAAUGAUCACUUAAAGGUUAUGUAGAAUAUAUUCAAAUAAAGUUCCUUAUUCAAA